GCCAGUGUGGUGUAGUGGUUUGAGUGCUGGACUAUGACUCUGGAGACUAGGGUUCAAUUCCCCACUUGGUCU
rnacentral:tRNA from 1 species